rnacentral:tRNA from 1 species
AGUGAAGUGGCCGAAUUAAGGUAUUAGUCUCUUAAAUUAAUUAUGAUAAAAUUAGUUU